CAGGCUGCUGCAACUGUUUAUUAAAAACACAGCACUCUGCAAACACGAAAGUGGACGUAUAGGGUGUGAUGCCUGCCCGGUGCUGGAAGGUUAAUUGAUGGGGUUAGCGUAAGCGAAGCUCUUGAUCGAAGCCCCAGUAAACGGCGGCCGUAACUAUAACGGUCCUAAGGUAGCGAAAUUCCUUGUCGGGUAAGUUCCGACCUGCACGAAUGGCAUAAUGAUGGCAGCGCUGUCUCCAGCAGAGACUCAGUGAAAUCGAAAUCGCAGUGAAGAUGCUGUGUACCCGCGGCUAGACGGAAAGACCCCGUGAACCUUUACUACAGCUUUACAUUGAACUUUGACCUAACUUGUGUAGGAUAGGUGGGAGGCUUUGAAGCAGAUACGCCAGUAUUUGUGGAGCCAACCUUGAAAUACCACCCUGGUUAUGUUGGGGUUCUAACUUAGAUAUAACAGUAUCAAGGACAAUGUAUGGUGGGUAGUUUGACUGGGGCGGUCUCCUCCUAAAGAGUAACGGAGGAGUACGAAGGUGCGCUCAGAACGGUCGGAAAUCGUUCAAAGAGUAUAAAGGCAAAAGCGCGCUUAACUGCGAGACCCACAAGUCGAGCAGGUACGAAAGUAGGUCUUAGUGAUCCGGUGGUUCUGUAUGGAAGGGCCAUCGCUCAACGGAUAAAAGGUACUCUGGGGAUAACAGGCUGAUACCGCCCAAGAGUUCAUAUCGACGGCGGUGUUUGGCACCUCGAUGUCGGCUCAUCUCAUCCUGGGGCUGAAGCAGGUCCCAAGGGUAUGGCUGUUCGCCAUUUAAAGAGGUACGCGAGCUGGGUUUAGAACGUCGUGAGACAGUUCGGUCCCUAUCUACCGUGGGCGUUGGAAAUUUGAGAGGAUCUGCUCCUAGUACGAGAGGACCAGAGUGGACGAACCUCUGGUGUUUCGGUUG
rnacentral:rRNA from 1 species